UGAUCUUGACAUCCUUUGGAGUCUUGGCACCCAAGUCAGUGUCAGAUGGCUGAAGGCUCUCGAACACACCGAUAACUUCACCGGUCUCCGGCUUGCUCUUUGUGACGCUCAAGGUGAUUUUCCCUGAUGAAGAUGCAGCACUCUUGUUGUUCUCCUUGGCUAGCUCUUCCUCAUCCCCUCUUCCUCCAGCAGGCAAGGCCACUGCAUUAUCGUACCCGGUUGAGCCACCCCUUCCCUUUGGGUCCAAGAAAGAUGAGCCACGGUAGGAUGGUACAAGGAAGUCUCCUCCAAAGCUAUCAGGUUUGCCUGAUGCAACCAAUUGCUUGAUGGUGAACAGGAAAGGCACACGCUCACCACCAGGAAGCUGAACUGUGACGGCAGCAUAAUCAAUCCCAUCUUUCUCCUCGAAUUUGACGGUGCCAUCGGUGGAUACCUCGAAAGGGCCCUCGAUUUCGUCAAGGGUGUAGGUUAAACGGGUCAUGAGCUUGGUGUUUUGGAACUCAGGAGGGGCAUUCUUGUUAACACCCUCAGCCUUGACAGUGAAGGAAGUGGGCUCCAAGCAGAACUUCUUGGCGUAGUAUUUGCCAGGCUUGAAGGCAAAAGAGUCGACACCACCAUCGAUGGUUGGGCACUGGUUAGCAGUUCCUGUUCCUUUGACUUCCAUGUAUGUCUUGCUUUGGAUUUCAUCGUAGGUUAGCCGCUUUGGAACUCCUUCAGCGCUUGCUCCCUUCAAAACAAACCAGUCAUUGUAACAUAUUUGUUCAGAUCACGGAUCAUAUAUGAUCCUUAUGUAUGCAAUCAACGAUACUUGGUUCAAAUAAAAAAUCCAAAUGAUAAAGUUACAACACCAUGCAAGCUCAUUAAGAAUCCUACCUAAGCUACAUAAAAAUAAAUACAGAAAUUUGAAGCAAGUGAGAGGCGAGAAGUAAAUACCGAGACAACAAGAGCAGAUGUAGCAAGAGCGAAACCAGCGAGCUUGGUAGCAUCAACACACUUCUGAGCCAAGUCCUUGAGGUCAGUUUGCAAAGAGCAGGUGAGCCUAGCACCAACAGGCUCCAAACCGAAGGCCUUAGAAACGCUCUGGGAGGACCUGAGCAGCACAUUGGUCCUUGAUGGUGCAGCAACCUUGAUUGGUUGCAUCAGGGUAGCUGCAGCUUGAAGUGAGACCGACAUUGUUACGAACUAUUGGAAAACAAAGAAGAGAGAGUUGUUUUAGUGAGAGCGUAGGGGAAAUUUAGGGGCCAAUU
rnacentral:lncRNA from 1 species